CCGACGGUGAGGGGUGAAGGCUGGGGGCGCAAACCGGAUUAGAUACCCGGGUAGUCCCAGCAGUAAACGAUGCCAGCUAUGUGUUGCUGGAACCAUGGGUUCCAGCAGUGCCGAAGGGAAGCCGUGAAGCUGGCCACCUGGGAAGUACGGUCGCAAGGCUGAAACUUAAAGGAAUUGGCGGGGGAGUACCACAACCGGUGGAGCCUGCGGUUUAAUUGGAUACAACGCCGGGAAUCUUACCGGAGGGGACAGCAGUAUGAAGGCCAGGCUAAAGACCUUGCCAGAUCAGCUGAGAGGAGGUGCAUGGCCGUCGCCAGUUCGUACCGUGAGGCAUCCUGUUUAGUCAGGCAACGAUCGAGACCCGCAGUCUUAUUUGCCAGCAUGCCCUUUGGGGUGUAUGGGUACAAUAAGACGACCGCCAGCGCUAAGCUGGAGGAAGGAGCGGGCUACGGUAGGUCAGCAUGCCCCGAAUCCUCCGGGAUACACGCGGGCUACAAUGGUCAGGACAAAAGGUACCGACCUCGAAAGAGUGAGGUAAUCCACAAACCUGAUCUCAGUCCGGAUCGAAGGCUGCAACUCGCCUUCGUGAAGAUGGAAUCGGUAGUAAUCGUGACUCAAAAUGUCACGGUGAAUAUGUCCCUGCUC
rnacentral:rRNA from 1 species